UACGUAGGGGACGAGCGUUGUCCGGAUUCAUUGGGCGUAAAGCGCGCGUAGGCGGCUCGGAAAGUCGGUCGUGAAAUGCCGGGGCUCAACCCCGGGACUGCGUCCGAUACUCCCGAGCUGGAGGCAGGUAGGGGAGAUCGGAAUUCCUGGUGUAGCGGUGAAAUGCGUAGAUAUCUGGAGGAACACCGGUGGCGAAGGCGGCAUCCUGGACCGGUAUUGACGCUGAGGCGCGAAAGCCAGGGGAGCAAACGGG
rnacentral:rRNA from 1 species